AUACCAUGAUGUGGACAUGUAACCAGUAGACCAUUGAAUCUCUCCCACGUUUCGUAUAGUGUCUUAGUUGGUUUCUGUUUGAAGCUCAAUAUCUCAUGAAUUU
rnacentral:snoRNA from 1 species